ensembl:snoRNA U8 U8 small nucleolar RNA
UCUUCAGUGAGGUACAUCCUUACCUGUUACUCCAUACGUGGAGUAUCAGAACAUGAUGAAUGGACCUUGAUGAGAUAUGAUUAUCAUCUCCAUCUUACAGGGAACUGCAACACCCUGUAAGACCAUUCUGAU